rnacentral:rRNA from 1 species
CGCGUAGGUAACCUGCCUUGUAGCGGGGGAUAACUAUUGGAAACGAUAGCUAAUACCGCAUAACAAUGGAUGACACAUGUCGUUUAUUUGAAAGGGGCAAUUGCUCCACUACAAGAUGGACCUGCGUUGUAUUAGCUAGUAGGUGAGGUAAUGGCUCACCUAGGCGACGAUACAUAGCCGACCUGAGAGGGUGAUCGGCCACACUGGGACUGAGACACGGCCCAGACUCCUACGGGAGGCAGCAUG